rnacentral:rRNA from 1 species
GAUGAACGCUGGCGGCGUGCUUAACACAUGCAAGUCGAACGGAAAGGCUCCUGCUUGCAGGGGUACUCGAGUGGCGAACGGGUGAGUAACACGUGGGUGAUCUGCCCUGCACUUCGGGAUAAGCCUGGGAAACUGGGUCUAAUACCGGAUAGGACCACAUUUUGGAUGGUGUGGUGGAAAGCUUUUCGGUGUGGGAUGAGCUCGCGGCCUAUCAGCUUGUUGGUGGGGUAAUGGCCUACCAAGGCGUCGACGGGUAGCCGGCCUGAGAGGGUGUACGGCCACAUUGGGACUGAGAUACGGCCCAGACUCCUACGGGAGGCAGCAGUGGGGAAUAUUGCACAAUGGGCGCAAGCCUGAUGCAGCGACGCCGCGUGGGGGAUGACGGCCUUCGGGUUGUAAACUCCUUUCGCUAGGGACGAAGCGUUUUUGUGACGGUACCUGGAGAAGAAGCACCGGCUAACUACGUG